UUUAUGAUGAGUCAUUUAGUUUUGAUAUGGAUAAAUAGUUUGACAGUUUUAUUAUUUCUAUGAUAUAUCCUUCAUUAAUUAUUAUAGAUAUAUGACUUAAAAAAUCUUGUAUUUACGCUGCAAAUGGAGCAACAAAAGACUUUUGAAAGGAAGAUUCCACGACGGUAGUUCUUAUUAAUGUCUGUCGCAAAAUUCCCUUU
rnacentral:lncRNA from 1 species